AGAAAAAGACAGAUGAAACCUGUGGUCAGCUCUUGUGGGAGCGCGGAAAGCAAGUCCAGAGCUCAGAAGUGUCUCUUCUUUUCUGUGGUUUCACGAUGCGGCACCGCUAUGAGGAAUAUGUGAGGAAUAUCUCUUGGCUCGGAGGAUGAAGACAGGCAGCUGCUGGCAUGAAGACAGCAAAGGCCUUUGGUUCCCAUCUGCAGAAGAAUAUACGUGUCUCACAUGAAUGCAUUGUUCUUCUUGGCCAAAGUCAAUCCACAGAAAACAUGGCGUCUCUUCUGUGCCUCAUCUGUGCUAGUUUGGCGUCACCUAGAACAGCCCCUCUGUUUCCAGAGCAGCCUCCUAGGCUUUCCCGUGUGGCCAUUGCAGCUGACAUGGAGCUCCAAAUCCCAUUCCUCAUUUUUGUCAACAGCCUGCAUUGCGAAAGACACAGAUCCCCAAGGUCACGCUCAUACACUGGACAGGGCUGCUGCCUCCUUGCUCAUUGGGGACUGGCAUCACGCUGCCUCACCUGUGACAGGUGUCCUUCUGAGAGACAGAAGAGGAGACAGACACAGAGGAGAAGGCCACGUGGAGACGGAGGCAGAGACUGGAGUGAUGCUGCCACAAGUCCAGGGAUGCCUGGAGCCCCCAGGAGCUG
rnacentral:lncRNA from 1 species